CCUACGGGAGUCUGCAGUAGGGAAUCUUCCACAAUGGGCGAAAGCCUGAUGGAGCAAUGCCGCGUGGGUGAAGAAGGUCUUCGGAUCGUAAAACCCUGUUGUUAGAGAAGAAAGUGCGGGAGUGUAACUGUUCACGUUUCGACGGUAUCUAACCAGAAAGCCACGGCUAACUACGUGCCAGCAGCCGCGGUAAUACGUAGGUGGCAAGCGUUAUUCGGAUUUACUGGGCGUAAAGCGAACGCAGGCGGUCUUUUAAGUCGGAUGUGAAAGCCUUCGGCUCAACCUGGGUAGUGCAUUUGAGACUGGGAGACUUGAGUGCAGAAGAGGGGAGUAGAACUCCAUGUGUAGCGGUGAAAUGCGUAGAUAUAUGGAGGAACACCAGUGGCGAAGGCGGCUCUCUGGUCGGUGACUGACGCUGAGGUUCGAAAGCGUGGGUAGCAAACAGGAUUAGAUACCCCAGUAGUC
rnacentral:rRNA from 1 species